rnacentral:rRNA from 1 species
UACGGAGGGUGCAAGCGUUAAUCGGAAUUACUGGGCGUAAAGCGCACGCAGGCGGUUGGCUAAGUUAGAUGUGAAAGCCCCGGGCUCAACCUGGGAAUUGCAUUUAAAACUGUCCAGCUAGAGUCUUGUAGAGGGGGGUAGAAUUCCAGGUGUAGCGGUGAAAUGCGUAGAGAUCUGGAGGAAUACCGGUGGCGAAGGCGGCCCCCUGGACAAAGACUGACGCUCAGGUGCGAAAGCGUGGGGAGCAAACAGG